GCCACAUGGGGAGCCCUGAGAGGCUAAAGAAUCACGGGCCGGCUCACCUGGCUCGGCUUACUACCACGCCUCCAUGGUGCCGGCACAAGAGUCUGAUCUGGAGAAGAACACCCAUACCGGAGGACUCGUACCAACAGGUUCAGGGGGGACGAUGAACAAUGGGUAGACCACAUAUUAUAGACCUAUGUGGGGAGCGGGUAGGUGGGCGAGACUUA